GACGAACGCUGGCGGCGUGCUUAACACAUGCAAGUCGAACGGAAAGGCCCUGCUUUUGUGGGGUGCUCGAGUGGCGAACGGGUGAGUAACACGUGAGUAACCUGCCCUUGACUUUGGGAUAACUUCAGGAAACUGGGGCUAAUACCGGAUAGGAGCACCUGCUGCAUGGUGGGGGUUGGAAAGUUUCGGCGGUUGGGGAUGGAUUCGCGGCUUAUCAGCUUGUUGGUGGGGUAGUGGCUUACCAAGGCUUUGACGGGUAGCCGGCCUGAGAGGGUGACCGGCCACAUUGGGACUGAGAUACGGCCCAGACUCCUACGGGAGGCAGCAGUGGGGAAUAUUGCACAAUGGGCGGAAGCCUGAUGCAGCGACGCCGCGUGCGGGAUGACGGCCUUCGGGUUGUAAACCGCUUUCGCCUGUGACGAAGCGUGAGUGACGGUAAUGGGUCAAGAAGCACCGGCUAACUACGUG
rnacentral:rRNA from 1 species